UACGUAGGGCGCAAGCGUUGUCCGGAAUUAUUGGGCGUAAAGCGCGCGCAGGCGGUUCUUUAAGUCUGAUGUGAAAGCCCACGGCUCAACCGUGGAGGGUCAUUGGAAACUGGAGAACUUGAGUACAGAAGAGGAAAGCGGAAUUCCACGUGUAGCGGUGAAAUGCGUAGAGAUGUGGAGGAACACCAGUGGCGAAGGCGGCUUUCUGGUCUGUAACUGACGCUGAGGCGCGAAAGCGUGGGGAGCAAACAGG
rnacentral:rRNA from 1 species